rnacentral:rRNA from 1 species
AUGAGUACUAUCAGCUGGAACUGUCGAGGGCUUGGGAACCCUCAGACAGUUCGAGAGCUUCGCAAGAUUGUGAAGCAAGAAGGACCCGCCCUUCUGUUCGUAAUGGAGACCAAGAUCAAGGGCAAAAGAGUGGAAGAUCCGAAAUUUACUUUAGGUUUUUCUGGUUGUUAUGCCGUCGACAGCGACGGGCUUAGUGGAGACGUUAGUCUGAAUAAUUUCAGUCAAUCUCACAUUGAUGUAUCUGUCAAACAGGAUAAUAAAACUUGGCGUUUCACUGGUUUCUAUGGAGCGCCACGAGUGGAAAAUAGACAUCACAGCUGGCGGUUUCUCUGCACGCUUUUUGCUGUCCCGCAUGAUGCAUGGAUCUGCAUGGGUGAUUUUAAUGAAACGAUGCAAGCGGACGAGCAUUUCAGUGUUAAUGCGCGGCCGGAAUACCAGAUGAGGGCGUUCCGGGAUGCGGUUGACGAUUGUUCCUUACAAGACUUGGGAUGGAGAGGUAUUCCCUAUACAUGGGAUAACAGAUAA